rnacentral:rRNA from 1 species
CACAGAAGUUAGCCGUGGCUUCCUUUAACGGUACCGUCAUUCCUCCGGGGUAUUAACCCAGAAGCUAUUCGUCAUUCGACAGGGGUUUACGAUCCGAAGACCUUCAUCCCCCACGCGGCGUUGCGUCAUCAGGCUUGCGCCCAUUGUGAACAAUUCCCCA